ensembl:lncRNA
AUGUUAACAGUGGAUUUGGACCAAGAAAAUACUCCAAAUUUUCAAGUCCUUUACUUCUUUGUUUCUCAAACACUGUGGCUGAGAGAAAGUGGCUUCCAGACUCACCGUUUAGUGGGGAAAUACGCCUGUCAGGAUGCUUGGAUUAUGAGAGACGGCUCCUCGGUUCCCACUGCUCGUGGGGCGCGGGACUCUGGAGAGCCACGGUCCUGCAUGGCCACGGUUCACAUGCACCUGCCCAACCACCUGUCCGCCUUCACCAGGACAGGGGAAGACACCUGCGUGGCCUCAGACUCCACGUCCCCAGGCACAUGGCCUCCACGCCCCAGGCUCGGUUCUGCGGAGGGAAUUCCCUGUGUCACCCAGGACACGUGCGAGCCUCCAAAGUAACGUCAACCCUGUGGGCAGAGAAUGAGUUAAUCACAGUCACGAGAGCUGACCAUCUCUGCUUCUUGGUGCCAGAAACUGCUCAGAGCGGUUACACGUGUCCUUUGGUUUUGAAUAGCUGAGCUGCCGCGAGGACACAGGCCCCGUGACGGUAGAGGAGCCCUGCUCCGUCCGUGUCCGGGUUUCUCUGUCUCCACACUGCUGGCACUUGGGGAGGGAGGAAGCGUGUGGGGUGGGGUGGGGGAGGCUGCCCAGGGAGCUGUAGGAUGAUGACAGCACCCCUGACCUCUACCCACCAGAUGCCAGGGUGCCCCCAGCUGUGACAGCAAACAGGUCUGCAGACCGUGCAGACUCAGCCCCAGGGGAGAAGCCUGAGCUUCAUAGGGUGUUCAGGGCUCUGGAACAGGAAAGAGGAGCAGGCCGGCUCUGGCCAGGCCUCUCCCGUCUCACCUUUCGGGGUGGAUUUAUGUUUCGGGGUUCUACCCAGGGUUUCACAGGCUGCUGGGUCUCCAGGCUUAAAGAAGGUGCUGGCAUAUCCACUGUUCCCAUCAGUUUGGAAACAUCAAACCUCUUAAAACGUGAAAGGUUUGCUAAGCGAGAAGAUAAAACCACCCAGGAUCUGCUUUCGAUUUCUUCAUUGACUUUCAUUCUUCCAGGUACACUUCUAAAAGGAAAAUGCCCAAGUAUUUCUUCCUCUCAAGGAGGCUUUUCCCGUUGACCUGGUUAAAUCCCCAAAGGGAUCCCCCAACACAGACACACUCAGUCCUUGGCCCCCUGGGGAUGGGAUUGUUGCUGCCUUGUUCCCAGCACCUCAACCAGAAUCUAAUACAUAGUCGCCUUUGUUGAAUAAGUAAAUGCUUCAAACAAUUAUUUUUUUAAAGUGUCAUUUAAAAAGAUUAAUUGUAUAGAUCAAAGUUGACGUGUUUUCAAUGAAAGCACCUCUCUGAACAGUAUAUAAUAACUGAAGCGUAUUUAUUAUGUUUGAGCCUUGUUUCAAAAUCCC